CAGAUUUAACCAUCAGCAAGAAAUAUCUCUCAUUCGUAUGCUGGAUUUCCACAGAUGUGAAUAAAUCCUGCUCAUCUAACAUGAGAGAAAGUCAAGGAAAGCAGAAAGCCAGCUGCUGCCCUUAAGAUAAGUUGAAGAUCAUGCAUUUCAAAUAGUCACUGGAGCCACUACAGAUACAGAACUCCACUCAUCCUUGACCUGGGAACAACUGCCCAUCACACAUCUGCAUGAAAGAAUUUUACCACACGCGUCUGACAUUCCAGAAGAUUCUCCCAGUCUUCUCAAUGUGUAUUAUACAGGGAUG